rnacentral:rRNA from 1 species
GUGGGGAAUAUUGGACAAUGGGCGCAAGCCUGAUCCAGCAAUGCCGCGUGGGUGAAGAAGGCCUUCGGGUUGUAAAGCCCUUUUGUACGGAAAGAAAUCCUGGUGGUUAAUACCCGCCGGGGAUGACGGUACCGUAAGAAUAAGCACCGGCUAACUUCGUGCCAGCAGCCGCGGUAAUACGAAGGGUGCAAGCGUUAAUCGGAAUUACUGGGCGUAAAGCGUGCGUAGGUGGUUCGUUAAGUCUGCCGUGAAAGCCCCGGGCUCAACCUGGGAAUGGCGGUGGAUACUGGCGGGCUAGAGUGCGGUAGAGGGUGGUGGAAUUCCCGGUGUAGCAGUGAAAUGCGUAGAUAUGCGGAGGAACACCGAUGGCGAAGGCAAUCCCCUGGGCCUGCACUGACGCUCAUGCACGAAAGCGUGGGGAGCAAACAGGAUUAGAAACCCCUGUAGUCC